AUUGAACGCUGGCGGCAGGCCUAACACAUGCAAGUCGAGCGGAUGAAGGGAGCUUGCUCCUGGAUUCAGCGGCGGACGGGUGAGUAAUGCCUAGGAAUCUGCCUGGUAGUGGGGGAUAACGUCCGGAAACGGGCGCUAAUACCGCAUACGUCCUGAGGGAGAAAGUGGGGGAUCUUCGGACCUCACGCUAUCAGAUGAGCCUAGGUCGGAUUAGCUAGUUGGUGGGGUAAAGGCCUACCAAGGCGACGAUCCGUAACUGGUCUGAGAGGAUGAUCAGUCACACUGGAACUGAGACACGGUCCAGACUCCUACGGGAGGCAGCAGUGGGGAAUAUUGGACAAUGGGCGAAAGCCUGAUCCAGCCAUGCCGCGUGUGUGAAGAAGGUCUUCGGAUUGUAAAGCACUUUAAGUUGGGAGGAAGGGCAGUAAGUUAAUACCUUGCUGUUUUGACGUUACCAACAGAAUAAGCACCGGCGAACUUCGUG
rnacentral:rRNA from 1 species